AGCGAACGCUGGCGGCAGGCCUAACACAUGCAAGUCGAACGGGCACCUUCGGGUGUCAGUGGCAGACGGGUGAGUAACACGUGGGAACGUGCCCUUCAGUUCGGAACAACCCAGGGAAACUUGGGCUAAUACCGGAUAUGCCCUUCGGGGGAAAGAUUUAUCGCUGAAGGAUCGGCCCGCGUCUGAUUAGCUAGUUGGUAGGGUAACAGCCUACCAAGGCGACGAUCAGUAGCUGGUCUGAGAGGAUGAUCAGCCACAUUGGGACUGAGACACGGCCCAGACUCCUACGGGAGGCAGCAGUGGGGAAUAUUGGACAAUGGGCGCAAGCCUGAUCCAGCCAUGCCGCGUGAGUGAUGAAGGCCCUAGGGUUGUAAAGCUCUUUCGGCGGGGACGAUAAUGACGGUACCCGCAGAAGAAGCCCCGGCUAACUUCGUGCCAGCAGCCGCGGUAAUACGAAGGGGGCUAGCGUUGCUCGGAAUCACUGGGCGUAAAGGGCGCGUAGGCGGAUCUUUAAGUCGGGGGUGAAAGCCCAGGGCUCAACCCUGGAAUUGCCUUCGAUACUGGAGAUCUUGAGACCGGAAGAGGUAAGUGGAACUGCGAGUGUAGAGGUGGAAUUCGUAGAUAUUCGCAAGAACACCAGUGGCGAAGGCGGCUUACUGGUCCGGUUCUGACGCUGAGGCGCGAAAGCGUGGGGAGCAAACAGGAUUAGAUACCCUGGUAGUCCACCCGUAAACGAUGGAUGCUAGCUGUUGGCCGGCUUGCCGGUCAGUAGCGCAGCUAACGCUUUAAGCAUCCCGCCUGGGGAGUACGGUCGCAAGAUUAAA
rnacentral:rRNA from 1 species